AUGUGUAUGCUUAUAUGUGUGUGAGAGGGCCCUUCUCCCAAACACAAUUGGAUCUUGCUUCCUCUGCAUUUCCUAACUGCAGAAAGACCAAAAGUCUGGAGAGCAUGGGGGUUUUGCCAGAGCACAGGACUUUUUGUUAGGGAAGGAGGAAGAGCGUGUGUGUGAGUGGCUUCAUCCUUGGACAGCGGCUGGAUCUCAUUUCUUUGUUUGGCCUCUAGCCACCCUCUUGCCUGUUGCUAGCUCUAUAGAGCCAUGAUCAUCAGGACAGGAAAAGCAAGGGUGAGCCAUCAGAGUGUGGGACCUUCUGUAUAUAAGAGGAAAAGCCGAGUGGGUUAUGACUGAAGGGAGGGAAGAAAUUUUUGUUGUUUUUUUGUCCAGUGUAUCCCAAAAGCAAACUCCAGGAUUUCAGGUAAUUGUGUAAUUGGGAAAUAGAGAUUAAGAUUAAUG